UUCUCUAUAGGCAGCUCGUCACUCCCCCAGGUAAUAUUCUCUCUAGGCAGCUUACCGUCAGUGAAUGUCCAGGUAAUAUUCUCUAUAGGCAGCUCGUCACUCCCCCAGGUAAUCUCAUCCUCUUCUGGAAGCUCUGAUGUCAUCUGCAUGUA